UUGAUACCAGCUUAGRGAUCUGCUGGUUUGCUGUUAGAGGAAGGGAGGCUAUGACUUUUCCAGGAUAGCACAUACACUUCUAUUGCCUGCAUAUUAAAAAACAUAUCAAGAGCAGAGAGAUGCUGGUAACCUAUGUGCUGAAAUUCCUAGAUAUGCCUUCAGUGACUAUUAAUAAUUUCCCCUAUACGGAAAACUAUCAAGUAGUGCCUGAUCUCUUUUUUCCCUCUUUUUUGUCAGGUGAAUAUUUUCAGUAUGCUCAACUGAGAUGAUAUGGCUCCUUGACAGCAAAAGUGAUUCCCUUGGAGCAGGGCCCUGCAGUAACUCUAGUUGCACCCACUCACAGUGCUGGCUGCAGGAACUGGGGUUUGGUCCUGCUCCUCUGCUCUCCUUGCCGAGGAGUCUGAUCUGUGUGUUUGGAGUACUCUGUGGAAGUGUGUCAAGGCGACAAAGAUGCCCUUCCGUUCCUGAUAAUGCAGAAAGCCCAGCUCCCCAAACUGGGGCUUGUUUAGUUACCCUUCUGCCUGUCUGCACGGCAGUGAAAAAAGCGUUCUUUGUCACCGUUCUCCAUGAGAUACCAAGCAGCAGGAAAAUGCUGUGUUUGCAAUGUACAUCUGUAUGUGUUCACUGCAGAUGUCCUGGGUCAAAAACGCAUCCUGAAGAGCUUCAUCCUUUUCCCUGCUCCGUUUUGCCACCUGUCAUCUUAACGUGCUGCUUUUUAUGUACACCUUUUGUCGCUGCAGCCAUCUCCUAGCGUGAAGGAGCGAACUGAACUCCUUUCAGAAUUUCAUUAAUGCCGCUUCUGAUCAGACGCUGCUGAAUGACCGCUGCUUACCCUGGCCCUCGCGGAUCCUCGAGCGCCGUACACGUCGGUGGGACGGGUGCCUGGGCGCGGGGCUCUGGAGAGGGCAAGCACGGCUCUCGGCGGAGGCUUUCUCUAAAAACGAAGACUUAGCUAAGAUGAAAGAAAAUUCUUCUCUGUAGAUUUUCAAGCAAAAAGAGGCCACUAUGAUAACAGCUCACUUAAAGUAUAACUUGAGACCCAAAGCAUCUUCCAGUGAUUUCUGCAUGCAGUCCGUUAUCUUGCAGGUAAAGGUAUCUGCUGUCAGUGUGAAGACUCCAGUGUUCAAAGAAUCUACAGGUUUUUUUAUUUACCUAAUUCCACUGAAUAAUUAUUCCCCUGCCUCAGGAGUCUCUUCUCAAUAACACUGUGACUAGCUGUAUAGGAAAUUUAAUGCAAAUAAAAACAAACCUUUUGCAUUAUAAAUAUGAUAC
rnacentral:lncRNA from 1 species